rnacentral:rRNA from 1 species
GGAAUAUUGGACAAUGGGCGCAAGCCUGAUCCAGCCAUGCCGCGUGCAGGAUGACGGUCCUAUGGAUUGUAAACUGCUUUUGCACAGGAAGAAACAACGCUACGUGUAGCGUCUUGACGGUACUGUGAGAAUAAGGAUCGGCUAACUCCGUGCCAGCAGCCGCGGUAAUACGGAGGAUCCAAGCGUUAUCCGGAAUCAUUGGGUUUAAAGGGUCCGUAGGCGGUUUAGUAAGUCAGUGGUGAAAGCCCAUCGCUCAACGGUGGAACGGCCAUUGAUACUGCUAAACUUGAAUUAUUAGGAAGUAACUAGAAUAUGUAGUGUAGCGGUGAAAUGCUUAGAGAUUACAUGGAAUACCAAUUGCGAAGGCAGGUUACUACUAAUGGAUUGACGCUGAUGGACGAAAGCGUGGGUAGCGAACAGGAUUAGAUACCCUUG